GAUGCUGGACCUUGCUGCUGCUGCUACUGCUGUUUCCAGGGGCUGCAGAGCAUGGACUGUUAAAUCUUGCACUUCUUCUGAGUGAGAAGAAAAAGAACUCUGAAAUGAAAUUGAGGAUUUGAACUUCACACAGCUGUUUGAAGGAGAAAAGGGAAUUUUUAAAAGGAGAAUGAAAGUGUCCUUGUCUCUAGAACUGAAGCAACUUGGAGGAAUGAGUGGAGUCUUUGUUUAGUGAGUGAGUUCUCAUGAGAUCUGAUGGUUUUGUAAGGGGCUUUUACCCCUUUUGCUCAGCACUUCUCCUUCCUGCCAUCAUGUGAAGAAGGGCAUGUUUGCUUCCCCUUCUACCAUGAUUCUCUCUUUCUUUAAAUGAGAUAUGGUGGUGCGUAAUGAUCGAAGCAGAGACUUGGAGUCUGGUGUGCCUGUAUUCAAAUCUGACUGCACCACUUACUGUCUGCCAGAUCUUGGAUAAAUUAUUUAAUCUCCCUAAACCUCAGUGUCCUCAUCUGUGAAGUGAGCUGAAUUCUUGCCGCCAGGAUGGGGAAA
rnacentral:lncRNA from 10 species